CAACCNGCCGCUUACUCGGGGAUAGCCUUUCGAAAGAAAGAUUAAUACCCGAUGGUAUAAAGAGUUCGCAUGUUCUCUUUAUUAAAGAAUUUCGGUAAGCGAUGGGGAUGCGUUCCAUUAGAUUGUUGGCGGGGUAACGGCCCACCAAGUCUACGAUGGAUAGGGGUUCUGAGAGGAAGGUCCCCCACAUUGGAACUGAGACACGGUCCAAACUCCUACGGGAGGCAGCAGUGAGGAAUAUUGGUCAAUGGACGAGAGUCUGAACCAGCCAAGUAGCGUGAAGGAUGACUNCCCUAUGGGUUGUAAACUUCUUUUAUAAGGGAAUAAAGUGAGGGACGUGUCCCUUUUUGUAUGUACCUUAUGAAUAAGGAUCGGCUAACUCCGUGCCAGCAGCCGCGGUAAUACGGAGGAUCCAAGCGUUAUCCGGAUUUAUUGGGUUUAAAGGGAGCGUAGGUUGACAUAUAAGUCAGCUGUGAAAGUUUACGGCUCAACCGUGAAAUUGCAGUUGAUACUGUAUGUCUUGAGUGUACAAGAGGUGGGCGGAAUUCGUGGUGUAGCGGUGAAAUGCUUAGAUAUCACGAAGAACUCCGAUUG
rnacentral:rRNA from 1 species